AAGAUUGGCCGAAAGGCCUUAUCCUUAUAUCCCUCACCUCUGUGAACUGUGGACCCUCGGGUCUAUCUUAACAAACAUCAGUGUAAUGAACGUAUACAUAUAUAACAAAACA
rnacentral:misc_RNA from 1 species